rnacentral:rRNA from 1 species
GACGAACGCUGGCUGCGUGCUUAACACAUGCAAGUCGAACGCUGAAGCCCUCAGCUUGCUGGGGGUGGAUGAGUGGCGAACGGGUGAGUAACACGUGAGUAACCUGCCCCUGACUUCGGGAUAAGCCCGGGAAACUGGGUCUAAUACCGGAUAUGACCGCUCCUCGCAUGAGGGAUGGUGGAAAGUUGUUUCGGUUGGGGAUGGGCUCGCGGCCUAUCAGCUAGAUGGUGGGGUAAUGGCCCACCAUGGCGACGACGGGUAGCCGGCCUGAGAGGGCGACCGGCCACACUGGGACUGAGACACGGCCCAGACUCCUACGGGAGGCAGCAGUGGGGAAUAUUGCACAAUGGGGGAAACCCUGAUGCAGCGACGCAGCGUGCGGGAUGACGGCCUUCGGGUUGUAAACCGCUUUCAGCAGGGAAGAAGCCCCUCGGGGUGACGGUACCUGCAGAAGAAGUACCGGCUAACUACGUGCCAGCAGCCGCGGUAAUACGUAGGGCACGAGCGUUGUCCGGAAAUAUUGGGCGUNAAGAGCUCGUAGUGGUUGGUCACGUCUGCUGUGGAAACGCAACGCUUAAUGUUGCGCGUGCAGUGGGUACGGGCUGACUAGAGUGCAGUAGGGGAGUCUGGAAUUCCUGGUGUAGCGGUGAAAUGCGCAGAUAUCAGGAGGAACACCGGUGGCGAAGGCGGGACUCUGGGCUGUAACUGACACUGAGGAGCGAAAGCAUGGGGAGCGAACAGGAUUAGAUACCCUGGUAGUCCAUGCCGUAAACGUUGGGCACUAGGUGUGGGGGACAUUCCACGUUCUCCGCGCCGUAGCUAACGCAUUAAGUGCCCCGCCUGGGGAGUACGGUCGCAAGGCUAAAACUCAAAGGAAUUGACGGGGGCCCGCACAAGCGGCGGAGCAUGCGGAUUAAUUCGAUGCAACGCGAAGAACCUUACCAAGGCUUGACAUACACCAGAUCGGGCUGGAAACAGUCCUUCCCCUUUGGGGUUGGUGUACAGGUGGUGCAUGGUUGUCGUCAGCUCGUGUCGUGAGAUGUUGGGUUAAGUCCCGCAACGAGCGCAACCCUCGUUCUAUGUUGCCAGCACGUGAUGGUGGGAACUCAUAGGAGACUGCCGGGGUCAACUCGGAGGAAGGUGGGGAUGACGUCAAAUCAUCAUGCCCUUUAUGUCUUGGGCUUCACGCAUGCUACAAUGGCUGGUACAGAGAGAUGCGAGACCGUGAGGUUUUAGCGAAUCCCUUAAAGCCAGUCUCAGUUCGGAUCGUAGUCUGCAAUUCGACUACGUGAAGUCGGAGUCGCUAGUAAUCGCAGAUCAGCAACGCUGCGGUGAAUACGUUCCCGGGCCU